rnacentral:rRNA from 1 species
GUCGAACGCGAACGGCUCCUUCGGGAGCCUAGUAGAGUGGCAAACGGGUGAGUAACGCGUGGGUAACGUACCCUGAUCCUGGGAAUAACCCUCGGAAACGAGGGCUAAUACCGAAUGUGGCGAACGACCGGUUGGUCGCUCGCUAAAGGUGGCCUCUUCUAUGCUGCCGGGUUGGGAUCGGCCCGCGUCCCAUUAGCUAGUUGGUGAGGUAACGGCUCACCAAGGCCACGAUGGGUAGCCGGCCUGAGGGGGUGUACGGCCACACUGGCACUGAGACAAGGGCCAGUCCCCUAUGGGAGGCGCAGGCCGGGAAUAGUUCACAAUGGGCGAAAGCCUGAUGACGCGACGCCGCGUGAGCGAAGAAGACCUUCGGGUUGUAAAGCUCUGUCAGGAGGGAAAGAAGGCUCUAACGGGUUAAUAGCCCGUGGAAUUUGACGGUACCUCCAGAGGAAGCCCCGGCUAAAUACGUGCCAGCAGCCGCGGUAAUACGUAUGGGGCAAGCGUUGUCCGGAUUUACUGGGCGUAAAGGGCGCGUAGGCGGUUUGUUAAGUCGAAGGUGGAAUCCUCGGGCUCAACUCGUAGAAUUGCCUUCGAUACUUGGCAAACUAGAGUGGCGGAGAGGAAAGCGGAACUCUUGGUGUACCGGUGGAAAUGUGUAGAUAUCAAGAGGGCCACCGGUGGCGAAGGCGGGUUUUCUGGACGCACACUUGACGCUCAGGCGCGAAAAGCGUGGGUAGCCAAACAGGAUUAGAUACCCUGGUAGUUCCCACGCCAUAAACGAAUGGGUACUAGGGUGUCGGGGGUAUCGACCCCUCCGGUGCCGCAGUUAACGCACUAAGUACCCCGCCUGGGGAUUAUGGUCGCAAGGCUGAAACUCAAAGGAAUUGACGGGGCCCCGCACAAGCGGUGGAGCAUGUGGUUUAAUUCGACGCAACGCGAAGAACCUUACCUGGGCUUGACAUGCUUGGGACAGCGCUGGAAACAGCGUCUCUCCUUCGGGAGCCCUUGCACAGGUGCUGCAUGGCUGUCGUCAGCUCGUGUCGUGAGAUGUUGGGUUAAGUCCCGCAACGAGCGCAACCCUCGUUACUAGUUGCCAUCAGUUCGCCUGGGCACUCUAGUGAGACUGCCGGUGAUAAACCGGAGGGAGGUGAGGAUGAUGUCAAGUCAUCAUGGCCCUUACGCCCAGGGCUACACACGUGCUACAAUGGUCGGCACAAAGGGUCGCUAAGCCGCGAGGUGGAGCUAA